GAUGAAGAACGUAGCGAAAUGCGAUAAGUAAUGUGAAUUGCAGAAUUCAGUGAAUCAUCGAAUCUUUGAACGCACAUUGCGCCCGCCAGUAUUCUGGCGGGCAUGCCUGUCCGAGCGUCAUUUCAACCCUCGAACCCCUCCGGGGGGUCGGCGUUGGGGACCUCGGGAGCCCCUAAGACGGGAUCCCGGCCCCGAAAUACAGUGGCGGUCUCGCCGCAGCCUCUCCUGCGCAGUAGUUUGCACAACUCGCACCGGGAGCGCGGCGCGUCCACGUCCGUAAAACACCCAACUUCUGAAAUGUUGACCUCGGAUCAGGUAGGAAUACUCGCUGAACUUAAGCAUAUCAAUAAGCGGAGGA
rnacentral:misc_RNA from 1 species